UAACAAGGUUUCCGUAGGUGAACCUGCGGAAGGAUCAUUGUCGAAACCUGCCCAGCAGAACGACCCGUGAACGUGUUUACGAACAACGGGCUAGGGGUGCUUCGUGCCCCUCGCCCGAGCAGGGGAGCGCUCACUGGUGGGGUGCUUCCCAGCUACAUAAACGAACCCCGGCGCGAAAAGCGUCAAGGAACAUGAACUCAAUGUGAGUGCCUUGUCCCUGUUCGGUUAGCCGUGCGGGGGGAGGUGCCAUGUCUUUAUAACAAUAAACGACUCUCGGCAACGGAUAUCUCGGCUCUCGCAUCGAUGAAGAACGUAGCGAAAUGCGAUACUUGGUGUGAAUUGCAGAAUCCCGUGAACCAUCGAGUCUUUGAACGCAAGUUGCGCCCGAAGCCUCGGCUAAGGGCACGUCUGCCUGGGCGUCACGCAUCGCGUCUCCCCCAAACCGCCAAGGCGGAGGGGAAGGAAGAUGGCUUCCCGUGCCUCACCCGGCGCGGUUGGCCUAAAUUUGGAGCCCGUUGCACUUAGCUCUCGCGGCGAUAGGUGGUGAACAAGGCCUUGGCCGUGCAAACAACCCGCUGUGAAGCUCUAUGUCACGUGCGCUCGUCGGACCCUUUGAAGUUGCCUUUGGUGACUUAAAACCUUUGCGACCCCAGGUCAGGCGGGGCUACCCGCUGA
rnacentral:rRNA from 1 species